rnacentral:rRNA from 1 species
CCUACGGGAGGCAGCAGUGGGGAAUUUUCCGCAAUGGGCGUAAGCCUGACGGAGCAAUACCGCGUGAGGGAUGAAGGCUCGUGGGUCGUAAACCUCUUUUCCCAAGGAAGAAGUUCUGACGGUACUUGGGGAAUAAGCAUCGGCUAAUUCCGUGCCAGCAGCCGCGGUAAUACGGGAGAUGCGAGCGUUAUCCGGAAUCACUGGGCGUAAAGCGUCUGUAGGUUGUUUGUUAAGUCUGUUGUUAAAAACUGAAGCUCAACUUCAGGGGUNCGGCAGAAACUGGCAAACUUGAGUAUGGUAGGGGUAGAGGAAUUUCUAGUGUAGCGGUGAAAUGCGUAGAUAUUAGGAAGAACACCAUUAGCGAAGGCGUCCUACUGGGCCAAAACUGACACUCAGAGACGAAAGCUAGGGGAGCAAACGGGAUUAGAUACCCCGGUAGUCCUAGCCGUAAACGAUGGAUACCUAGAUGUCGCGGGUUUAACCUGCGGUGUCGUAGCUAACGCGUUAAGUACUCCCGCUGGGAAGUACGCACGCAGUGUAGUAACGUACAAUAGUAAGUUAGUACGGACGUGAGACGUAGCCGAACGGAACGACGACGAGGGGAAGUAGG